rnacentral:rRNA from 1 species
UAGGGAAUCUUCGGCAAUGGGGGGAACCCUGACCGAGCAACGCCGCGUGAGUGAAGAAGGUUUUCGGAUCGUAAAGCUCUGUUGUUAAGGAAGAACGAGUGUGAGAAUGGAAAGUUCAUACUGUGACGGUACUUAACCAGAAAGGGACGGCUAACUACUUGCCAGCAGCCGCGGUAAUACGUAGGUCCCGAGCGUUGUACGGAUUUAUUGGGCGUAAAGCGAGCGCAGGCGGUUAGAUAAGUCUGAAGUUAAAGGCAGUGGCUCAACCAUUGUAGUCUUUGGAAACUGUUUAACUUGAGUGCAGAAGGGGGGGAUGGAAUUCCAUGUGUAGCGAUGAAAUACGUAGAUAUAUGAAGGAACACCGGUGGCGAAAGCGGCUCUCUGGUCAGUAACUGUCGCUGAGGCUAGAAAGCGUGGGGAGCGAACAGG